AUACUUAUCUGACAGGGGAGAUACCUUGAACAUGAAGGAGGUUUUCCCAAGCUGAGGCUCAUACAUUGCACUCUGGGUGUGCUCACCCCUGUGAUUUCCCCAAAUGUGAAAAACUUGACUGCAUAAUUUGUGGUAGUGGGAGAGUGUGUUUGUGCCUACUCCUG